rnacentral:lncRNA from 1 species
AGCAUUUAAAAUAGUACCUAGUAUUCACAGUAACAGCUCAAAUGUUAGUUACUAUCACAGAUGGAAUCAUUAAAGGUUUUUUUACAAGUAUAUUUGUGAAGUUCAAAUCCCAGCUUCAUUAAUUUACUAUCUAUGUAGCUUCAGGAAAUUACUUAACCUCUUUAAGCCUCAGUUUGCUUAUUUGUAAAAUGGACACCAUAAUGCUACUGUCCUGAGCUAUGGUCCCCUUCUGCCAGUGGACAUCCCAACCAUGGCUGUUCACAAUAUGACACAUAAAGCUGUCAAUUCUCAUUCAGUGUAACACUCAGGAAACCAAAUUCUAUAGAAUUUAGGGUAUAAUGAUAUACACAUUAAACUAUCUAAAAUACUGGAAAUAAUUAGUACUGUGAUUACAAUAUGCUUUAGCAUGGAACUAAUAAAUUACCUUGAGUUAUAAAAAUAUUUACUUUGCAAGGCAUGGUGGUGCACGCCUGUAAUCCCAGCUAUUCAGAAG